AAAGCAUUUCAAAUACGUAAUGUUCUGUUUUUUUUGGGGGGGGGAUGGCAAUUUUUUUCAACAUUGAAAUGUCUUGCUCGCGUUUUGUUAGUUUUUUGGUUACUUUUUCAAGCUUUUUUGGUUACCACUGUUACUUUUUUUUAAAGAAAUUGAGUACGAGCCCUAAAUAACGGUUCUGUUGGAUUGAUGAGAUGCAACAUAAUGAGCUGCAUGUUUUUUUAAGAAACAAAAAUUGAAAUGGAUUUUCAAAAUUCUGGUGAAAUAUACUAAAUAGCUGGGUGUUUCAUAAUGGACGUCAAAUACACACCCAAUUCGCCAGGUAGUGUAAUAACUCCAAGGGGAAAAAGUGUAAAUUGGAUCAUUGACGGUAAAAAUUUGAGAGAGCAAAGUUAUCUUCUAGUACUGUAGGUGCAUUUUUCGAAGUAGGAAAAAUCAAUUCAAGAGCAAUUAAUCUUUUAAAAAGCACGUUGACUGGCGGUCUUUUGCAUUAGUCUCGUCUGCAUAGAUUUUUUAAUAGGUACCUAGAUAAUAAAAACCGGAUGCUGUGUAAGGAUUACUGGCGCGCCUGGGACCACAUUCUUUCAGCGCAUGCGCGGGUAGAAGGGUAGUUUUACUAGGGAUGAUUCAACGCGAAAGAUGUAUCAUUUUCAUUAUUUGUGAACUGAAGCAGCGUACAGCUCUGUGAAGAAGGCUUUUUUUUGUCAUUUUUUCGUGUUUUUGCAUUGCAUUUUAUCGAGUACCUAUACUUCUGUUUAUUGUGCCAUCCAACGUUUGAAGCCUGCUACAGUUGAAUUAUCGACUUUGAAAAAACGUUACUAAUUUCUCCAAUUUACGAGACAUGGAUUAUAAGGGAAUACUGAAUUUCGUCAAGGACUACAAUAAUGGGCAGAACCCGGGUCCAUACACAGCAGAAGAACAACGUAUACUCAAACACGUAAGAUACAUCAGCGUACCGUGCGCUUCUAAUGAAAACAGACACCUCACGCUGUUUAUUUGCCGACACCUCGUAGACUUUCAAGAACCGCCGUUCAAUCAGUAUCAGUUGGUAGAUGCGCUGCCCCUAAAGAAUAGAAGAAAACCUCGCUGCUCGUGGGCAUUGCUGUAUAGAUUUGUAGAUGAGAACGCUCAGUAUUCUGACGGUGGCGAAGCGGCAAAAAGGGCGAAUUAUGUUCUCCGAAGCAUGCAUCCUACAAACGUGCAUGAAGAAACGAAAAUAUCGAAAGUAACGAUAGAUAAUCAGGACUUUUGGAGGAGGGUCAUUAGACUUAAUAAAGGUCUGCCUCUGCUUGAUUGCAAUUGCGGGCCGAUUACUGAAAAUUUCGUGACGCAGUCCAAUUUGAACAUGAUUGUGGAAACUGCAGAGGAAUACAGGGAAAGCUUGAAAAAUUAUCUUAAUCUUCGACUGAAGUUAAUUGUCGAUGCAGACCAGAAGACGGUAGGUUCGAUUGAUGAUGAGUAGAUGACUCUGUAGUCCAGUCAUAGAUUUACCUUUAUGACGAGAGAUAGCUUAACCUGUCAAAAAAAGUGUUGAACCAGUUCCAGGAAAAAGCAAAUUGAUAAACCCAAAUGACAGAAGAAACAAAACAAUUACUCAACAAUAUACGUAAUAAACUUGAAAUGUGGUAAUACAAUUAUCAGAAAAGAAAAAAAAGUCAAGAUAUAUCUUCUCUCAUUAAUUAUCCAGUAGGUAUAUUUUUGAAAUUGUUGGUAUAAAUAGAGUUACAAUUAUUAAACUUUUUCAAUUCAGUGUCUAAUUGCUUUCUUAUUCGUUACACCUCACAUAUACUGUAAGUUAAAGUGAAAUUGUGUUCGGUGUCUGUCAAAAACCUACAAUAUGAAGUCAUUUGUUGCUGCAGUUUUGCUUAUCGCGUGUUAUUUGACCAUCUAUGGAGUUCACGCCGUACAUGAUCUUCCUCUUCCUUCAAUUGAAUGCUGCAGAGAACCUACACCAGAUCCGGAGGCAUGAUCCCAAAUGAAGAAUUUUGAAUUUAUUACAAUGAAGUUUCCAUUGGUAGGCAAUAGGCAUACACAUUUGCUCAAAAAACCUCUCAAUAGUUUCUUCUACGAAUAUAUUCCAUUAUUAAGCGUUAUGAAUCUUAUGUUCGUAAGUUCUUAUCUUUUCAGUUAUGUUCUUUUUCUGCUCAAAUAAUAUUGUAUUUGCACAUAUUGUACUUAAUAGAUUACAUUUUACCCACUGA